AUAAAUAUUCAAAUAAGAAUUCAGCCAUGAUCUGUCUUCAUCUGAUAGAGGGGAGCUCAUGAUGUACACAUGAUCUACCUUUAAUCUAGCGGCUUUGUCCGUGUUAAAAACGUGGCUUCCUUCCUCUAUACUUGAAAAUUGUGUUGCAAGGCUGCUUCAGAAAAACAAAAAAUAAAUAUAUGCAUAUGUAUGUAUAUAUACAUACAUGUAAGUAUAAAUAAAAUAUGAACAGAAAAUGGCUUCAAUCACUAAUAUUUUUGCAAACUAAUGUUCAGCUGAUGCCCCUCAAUUUUAUAUUGCAUCACAUUAGUGUCAUAAUGGUAAUGACUAGCCUUUAUUCACUAACAGUUUGAGUCAGCACUUUGAGACAUUUUCAAAUUAGGUCAUACUGCACAUUUGUGGCUGAUACAAAGGUUGAUUAAGAGAGCUGCACAAUUUUAAAGUGAUGUGGUGCUCCUUAUGAUUUUCACAAGAAUUAAAGGCAAACAGUCUUCAGAUCUUGAGAGGGAUAUAAACAAGAACUCUUUGGAAGGAAGAGAGGGAAGGAAGGGAAGAGGAAAAACACAGGGAAGGAAGGACAAGAAAGGAAGAUGGAUUUCAGCUCUUUCUGUCCCAGCGAGGACCUGCUCCCAAGAAAACCACUCUACAUCCUAA
rnacentral:lncRNA from 1 species